rnacentral:rRNA from 1 species
UGGGGAAUAUUGCACAAUGGAGGGAACUCUGAUGCAGCGACGCCGCGUGAGUGAUGAAGGAAUUCGUUUCGUAAAACUCUGUUCUAUGGGAAGAAAAGGACUGUACCAUAGGAGAAAGCUCCGGCUAAAUACGUGCCAGCAGCCGCGGUAAUACGUAUGGAGCGAGCGUUGUCCGGAAUUAUUUGGCGUAAAGGGUGCGCAGGCGGCUUUACAAGUUGGAUGUGAAAUAUUGUGGCUCAACCACAAACGUGCAUCCAAAACUGCAAAGCUUGAGUUAAGGAGAGGUAAGUGGAAUUCCUGGUGUAGCGGUGGAAUGCGUAGAUAUCAGGAGAAAUACCGGUGGCGAAGGCGACUUACUGGACAUAAACUGACGCUCAGGCACGAAAGCGUGGGGAGCAAACAGG